UACAGAGGGUGCGAGCGUUAAUCGGAAUUACUGGGCGUAAAGCGCGCGUAGGUGGUUUUGCAAGUCGAGUGUGAAAGCCCCGGGCUCAACCUGGGAACUGCAUUCGAGUCUGCAUUACUGGAGUAUUGGAGAGGGCAGUGGAAUUUCCGGUGUAGCGGUGAAAUGCGUAGAUAUCGGAAGGAACAUCAGUGGCGAAAGCGACUGCCUGGCCAAAUACUGACGCUCAUGUGCGAAAGCGUGGGGAGCAAACAGG
rnacentral:rRNA from 1 species